GGGGUUCUCCUAAAGUAAAAUCAAGUAAAAAAAGAACCAAGAACGUCGUAUCCUUUGAAAGAAAUAACUAAUCAACUUAUCUCGGAAAUGCCAAAGAAUCGCGAAAGCGAAAUCCGCUCGAUUCAAAUCCAUCUCCUUGACCAUAACCUGGGUGACGUCGGCCUUGUUCUAGGUCACACCGAAGUAAAUAAUCAGCGUUGCAUAAAUGUUAAACCGUCGCAUAAGCAUUCCAUUGUGCCAAUGUAAAAAGAAUAAUCGACAUAGAAAUUUGGUAAUUUGGCUGAUGAAAUCUUCACUUCUCUUGCACCAGGCGAAAGAGAUAAAUCUAUAAAUAGCUUCAAGAAGCAAAAUGUGUGUCUACGUGUGGGUAAAUUACAUGACCAGAAAAAGGUUCAUUGAAUCAGAGAGACAAAAUAACUGGUUUAUAAUAAAUCAAUGAGUGCUGAAAAUGAACCAAGACCUUGUCGCCGAGCUUCUCAUCAAUGAAAGCAUAGAUGAUACUCAUUAAUUACAGGUGAAAGCUUGUUACCGGGUUACUUAUAGUACGCUAGUUGGGUAAAACCGUUGUUACGGUCCAGAGAGGGCCUUGCUUAAUCCUUCAGGUUUCUUCCAAAAAUUUCGUGACGACCCAAUAAAUAUUAACAUUUUUUUCAGUUAGAAUGUUGAUUAAUCUUCCAGCAUGUGUUAGAAUUGUUUAAUAAAGCUAACGAUCACUUAAAUUCAGAUUUAAAGUUCGUGUUUGUUUGAACUUAUUAAGUGUAGUAUAUAAAAUGUUACUUCUUGACUAAAGUAUGUAGCAUGCGGAAAAAUCACUGAAAAUCACCUAAAAUCAAGCAAAGUUACCUUAAGAGUAACCAAAAAAUUUACAAAAUCUCUUGUUUUUAAACGCCCCAAUAUAGUUUUCCAUUUCUGGACCAAACCAAUUGGCGCACUAAGUACUUUAUUAAUUAUUAGAAAAUGAUGCAAUAUUUUGGAUUGUUUCAUCCAUUAACUAUAUAAACCACACCAUCUUUUAACUUUCUUUUUAUGUCUAUUAUAUUGAAGGUAGUUAUUAAAAAAAAUUGUACUUUACCAUUUUCAUGAUGCAACUUUCAAAGAAGUUUAAUUUUUCUACAAGAAAAGAAAAAAAAUGUGUAUUUUAAGACAUUUUGGUAUCUAUAUAAAAUUGGCAUUUCUUUAUAAUUGUCUUUGUUAUUGUUUUAACAACAAGAAGAACUUAUCUAAUGAGAAUUAUUAAAAAUGCUUUGCUGCGGAAACAUGUGCUAGAAUGAGUCAUUUAUUGUGAAAAUAAAGAAAUUGCUAGUGACUCCAAUUCUUUAAUUAAAUAAAAGGCUCGUUAUUUCAUUACCUGGUGUACAAUCCUGUGUAAUCAUGAUUCAUACUCGUAAUUCAAGCUUAAAUUUGGAGGAAUAGUUUCACUUAAAAAAAUAAUAAUGAUGUAUGUUUUGAACCGCGUUUUGUAAUGAACUAGGUAAGUAUUUAUUUUAGAUUUAGAGAGUUCAAAAAAGAGGAGCAACUUUCAACAAAAACAGAGAAGAAGGAAACAUUUUUGAACCAAAAAAAGAAUGCAGUAUUAUAUAUAUUAUGUCCUUUUUUUCCACUGCUUUUAUUGUUUUAUAUUUAAGUUCGUUUUUCUUAUCUUAUUAAAUUUUUCUCGAAAUUAUUGUU